UGUAAACCUCUUUUAUCAAAGAAGAAGAUCUGACGGUACUUGAUGAAUAAGCACGGCUAAUUCCGUGCCAGCAGCGCGGUAUACGGGAGUGGCAGCGUUAUCCGGAAUAUGGGCGUAAAGCGUCCGCAGGCGGUCUGUAAGUCUGUUGUUAAAGCGUGGAGCUUAACUCCAUUUCAGCAAUGGAAACUGUAAGACUAGAGUGUGGUAGGGGCAGAGGGAAUUCCCGGUGUAGCGGUGAAAUGCGUAGAUAUCGGGAAGAACACCAGUGGCGAAGGCGCUCUGCUGGGCCAUAACUGGCGCUCAUGGACGAAAGCCAGGGGAGCGAAAGGGAUUAGAUACCCCUGUAGUCCUGGCCGUAAACGAUGAACACUAGGUGUCGGGGGAAUCGACCCCCUCGGUGUCGUAGCCAACGCGUUAAGUGUUCCGCCUGGGGAGUACGCACGCAAGUGUGAAACUCAAAGGAAUUGACGGGGGCCCGCACAAGCGGUGGAGUAUGUGGUUUAAUUCGAUGCAACGCGAAGAACCUUACCAGGGUUUGACAUCCUGCGAGUCUCUUGGAAACGAGAGAGUGCCUUCGGGAACGCAGUGACAGGUGGUGCAUGGCUGUCGUCAGCUCGUGUCGUGAGAUGUUGGGUUAAGUCCCGCAACGAGCGCAACCCACGUCGUUAGUUGCCAGCAUUUAGUUGGGCACUCUAGCGAGACCGCCGGUGAUAAACCGGAGGAAGGUGUGGAUGACGUCAAGUCAUCAUGCCCCUUACAUCCUGGGCUACACACGUACUACAAUGCUACGGACAAAGGGCAGCAAACUCGCGAGAGCUAGCAAAUCCCAUAAACCGUGGCUCAGUUCAGAUCGUAGGCUGCAACUCGCCUACGUGAAGGAGGAAUCGCUAGUAAUCGCAGGUCAGCAUACUGCGGUGAAUACGUUCCCGGGCCUUGUACACACCGCCCGUCACACCAUGGAAGUUGGCCACGCCCGAAGCCGUUACUCCAACCCUUGUGGAGGAGGACGUCGAAGGUGGGGCUGAUGACUGGGGUGAAGUCGUAACAAGGUAGCCGUACCGGAAGGUGCGGCUGGAUCACCU
rnacentral:rRNA from 1 species